GACGUAGGGGACGAGCGUUGUCCGGAUUCAUUGGGCGUAAAGCGCGCGUAGGCGGUUACGCAAGUCGGUUGUGAAAAUCCGGGGCUCAACCCCGGACCUGCAUCCGAUACUGCGUGACUAGAGGUAGGUAGGGGAGAUCGGAAUUCCUGGUGUAGCGGUGAAAUGCGCAGAUAUCAGGAGGAACACCGGUGGCGAAGGCGGGUAGCUGGGCCAACACUGACGCUAAAGUGCGAAAGCUAGGGGAGCGAACAGG
rnacentral:rRNA from 1 species